AAAUAUGACAGGAGAUCUUAUGCCACCCAACCAAGUGGAUUCUCUGUCUGACGACUUCACAAGUCUCAGCAAAGAUGGGCUGAUUCAAAAACCUGGUAGUAAGGCAUUUGUAGGAGGAGCCAAAAACUGCAGUCUCUCCGUAGAUGACCAAAAAGACCCAGUAGCGUCUACUUUGGGAGCUAUGCCAAAUACAUUACAAAUCACUCCUGCUAUGGCACAAGGAAUCAAUGCUGAUAUAAAACAUCAAUUAAUGAAGGAAGUUCGAAAGUUUGGUCGAAAAUAUGAAAGAAUUUUCAUUUUGCUUGAAGAAGUGCAAGGACCUCUGGAGAUGAAGAAACAGUUUGUUGAAUUUACCAUCAAGGAAGCCGCAAGGUUUAAAAGACGAGUCCUAAUUCAGUACCUUGAGAAGAGACAUUACAAAGUGCACUUGAGGCUGCCCCCAACCUCUGACAUUUGUUCUUGCAUGUGAUGAUAGAAAGUCUUCAGAUGGACUUAUACAUUCUGUGCUUUGGAAGCACAAGAAGAACAAAAAAUGUGUAUAUUUCCUUUAAUGUUUAUACAAAAGUUUAUAUGGAGCAGUAUUGUUAUGUUUGUAUGAAUUUGCAAAAAUUAAAGUGUACAAAGAGAUUUUGAUUUUGCAUAUAUAAAAUAAAUCAUUUUAUUGAUUUUCACAAGUUCA
rnacentral:sRNA from 1 species